GUGCAAUGAGAACCAAUAUUUUUUUUAUAUAAAAAAAAAAUGAGUACUCACUUAAAACCAUGACUCAAUAAUAUAUAUUUUAGUCAUGCUUAAAACCAUUAUUAUUAUUAUCUACGAUUUGUAUAUAAUGUACUGAUAUAAUAUUGUACCUACAAUUUCACACUUGUUCAAACUUUUUAAUCUUUAAGUAUAAUAAAUACUAGAUCCAGUUUUACAUCCAUUUUAUAUUUAUGUAAAAACCAUUUUUAAGGACUAUUAUCCUUUCUACAAACAUUUUAAUAAUAAUAAAUAUGGAAAACAGAAGUUUGCAUCGCCACAGGACACUCCUUAAGUAGUACAAAAAAAAUUCAAGAAUAUGAAAAAAUUCCAAUAAUCAGAAUUUGAAUAAAUUCAUUAUCAAGGAUGAUCAUGCUUGGUUAAUCGCUAUAUACAGCGGAAGGACAAGUUUUUUUGUUUAAACAAGAAUCACAAUGAGGACCUAUGGGUCGGCAUAUUGUCUGUCCAAAUCCGACCAACAUGUGAUUAACUUCACGCCAAAGGUCUUUAGGUAACCAAGAUUCUA